AACGAACGCUGGCGGCAGGCUUAACACAUGCAAGUCGAACGGGCACCUUCGGGUGUCAGUGGCAGACGGGUGAGUAACGCGUGGGAACGUACCCUUCGGUUCGGAAUAACCCAGGGAAACUUGGGCUAACACCGGAUACGUCCGCAAGGAGAAAGAUUUAUCGCCGAAGGAUCGGCCCGCGUCGGAUUAGCUAGUUGGUGGGGUAAUGGCCCACCAAGGCGACGAUCCGUAGCUGGUCUGAGAGGAUGANCAGCCACACUGGGACUGAGACACGGCCCAGACUCCUACGGGAGGCAGCAGUGGGGAAUAUUGGACAAUGGGCGAAAGCCUGAUCCAGCCAUGCCGCGUGAGUGAAGAAGGCCUUAGGGUUGUAAAGCUCUUUCAGCGGGGAAGAUAAUGACGGUACCCGCAGAAGAAGUCCCGGCUAACUUCGUGCCAGCCGCCGCCGUAAG
rnacentral:rRNA from 1 species